GACGAACGCUGGCGGCGUGCCUAAUACAUGCAAGUCGAACGCAGUUGGGACUGGUGAGUAACACGUGGGUAACCUCCCAUCAAAGGGGAUAACACUUGGAAAAAGGUGCUAAACCGAUAUUGCUUGAUGAACCCGCGGUGCAUUAGCUAGUUGGUGAGGUAAAGGCUCACAAAGGCGACGAUGCAUAGCCGCUCUUAGAGGGUGAUCGGACACACUGGGACUGAGACACGGCCCAGACUCCUACGGGAGGCAGCAGUGGGGAAUCUUCGGCAAUGGACGAAAGUCUGAUCGAGCAAGGCCGCGUGAGUGAAGAAGGUUUUCGGAUCGUAAAACUCUGUUGUUAGAGAAGCGGUAUCUAAACAGAAAGCCACGGCUAACUACGUGCCAGCAGCCGCGGUAAUUC
rnacentral:rRNA from 1 species